AACGAACGCUGGCGGCAGGCCUAACACAUGCAAGUCGAGCGGCAGCACGGGUACUUGUACCUGGUGGCGAGCGGCGGACGGGUGAGUAAUGCCUAGGAAUCUGCCUGGUAGUGGGGGAUAACGCUCGGAAACGGACGCUAAUACCGCAUACGUCCUACGGGAGAAAGCAGGGGGACCUUCGGGCCUUGCGCUAUCAGAUGAGCCUAGGUCGGAUUAGCUAGUUGGUGAGGUAAUGGCUCACCAAGGCGACGAUCCGUAACUGGUCUGAGAGGAUGAUCAGUCACACUGGAACUGAGACACGGUCCAGACUCCUACGGGAGGCAGCAGUGGGGAAUAUUGGACAAUGGGCGAAAGCCUGAUCCAGCCAUGCCGCGUGUGUGAAGAAGGUCUUCGGAUUGUAAAGCACUUUAAGUUGGGAGGAAGGGCAGUUACCUAAUACGUAUCUGUUUUGACGUUACCGACAGAAUAAGACACCGGCUAACUACUGUGCCAGCAGCCGCGUAA
rnacentral:rRNA from 1 species